CUGACCCUCCCCGCCGCCAGUAUCUCUUAGGCAGAUCCUUGCUACCGCUCGAUGCAUCUCAAGUUUUCAAUUGUGUCGCCCGUCUCCUGUGCGAAGGUCAGGAGAACCAAGACAUGUCCUGGCAGCUUUCCACAUCUGUGCUCUGCCCAAGCAGCAGCCAGGCCUCCGACAGCUGCCCAUCACCCCCCCCGCCCAGGUGUGGCUCACCUGUCAGCCUCAUCCACGGGGGCCCCCUCCAUCUCGAACCUGCACGCACAGCCAUAGUCUUCGAAGUCCCGGGGGCAGAGACCAGCCACACACUUCAUGCCACUCACGAACUGGAGCAGCGCGGGGAAAUUGGUGAAGACAGCCUGCAGCCAGGUGAAGUGGGAGCCCAGGCAGUCUGCGGAUGGCACAGCGGGAGGGGACAGCUGUGCAGGGACUGGGAACCAGGGUUGGGGAAGGAGGCCCUGGGCCCGGGGGGCCCCGGCCCUUCCCCGCAGGCCUCCCUCCCAGCCG
rnacentral:lncRNA from 12 species